AUUGAACGCUGGCGGCAUGCCUUACACAUGCAAGUCGAACGGCAGCGGGGGAGAAGCUUGCUUUUCCUGCCGGCGAGUGGCGAACGGGUGAGUAAUACAUCGGAACGUGCCCUGUAGUGGGGAUAACUAGUCGAAAGAUUAGCUAAUACCGCAUACGACCUGAGGGUGAAAGUGGGGGACCGCAAGGCCUCAUGCUAUAGGGGCGGCCGAUGUCUGAUUAGCUAGUUGGUGGGGUAAAGGCCUACCAAGGCGACGAUCAGUAGCUGGUCUGAGAGGACGAUCGGCCACACUGGGACUGAGAAACGGCCCAGACUCCUACGGGAGGCAGCAGUGGGGAAUUUUGGACAAUGGGCGAAAGCCUGAUCCAGCAAUGCCGCGUGUGUGAAGAAGGCCUUCGGGUUGUAAAGCACUUUUGUCCGGAAAGAAAUGGCUCUGGUUAAUACCUGGGGUCGAUGACGGUACCGGAAGAAUAAGGACCGGCUAACUACGUGCCAGCAGCCGCAGUAA
rnacentral:rRNA from 1 species